rnacentral:rRNA from 1 species
AUUGAACGCUGGCGGCAGGCCUAACACAUGCAAGUCGAACGGUAACAGGAAACGGCUUGCUGUUUCGCUGACGAGUGGCGGACGGGUGAGUAAUGUCCGGGAAACUGCCUUAUGGAGGGGGAUAACUACUGGAAACGGUAGCUAAUACCGCAUAACGUCGCAAGACCAAAAAGGGGGACCCUCUGGCCCCUUGCCCUCUGAUGUGCCCAGAUGGGGUUUGCGUGUUGGGGGGGUAACGGCUCCCCAGGGCGACGCUCCCUGGCGGGUCUGGGAGGAUGACAGGCAAACUUGAAACGGGACAACGGUCCAGAUCCCUACGGGAGGCGGAGGGGGGGAUAUUGCACAAUGGGCGCAAGCCUGAUGCAGCCAUGCCGCGUGUAUGAAGAAGGCCUUCGGGUUGUAAAGUACUUUUAGCGGGGAAGAAGGGAGUAAGGUUAAUACCUUUGCUCAUUGACGUUACCCGCAGAAGAAGCACCGGCUAACUCCGUG